rnacentral:rRNA from 1 species
CAGCAGCCGCGGUAAUACGUAGGGUGCAAGCGUUAAUCGGAAUUACUGGGCGUAAAGCGUGCGCAGGCGGUGUUGUAAGACAGAUGUGAAAUCCCCGGGCUCAACCUGGGAACUGCAUUUGUGACUGUAUAGCUAGAGUACGGCAGAGGGGGAUGGAAUUCCGCGUGUAGCAGUGAAAUGCGUAGAUAUGCGGAGGAACACCGAUGGCGAAGGCAAUCCCCUGGGCCUGUACUGACGCUCAUGCACGAAAGCGUGGGGAGCAAACAGGAUUAGAUACCCGUGUAGUCCCUGUCUCUUAUAC